rnacentral:rRNA from 1 species
AUUGAACGCUGGCGGCAUGCCUUACACAUGCAAGUCGAACGGCAGCACGGGAGCUUGCUCCUGGUGGCGAGUGGCGAACGGGUGAGUAAUACAUCGGAACGUACCCUGAAGUGGGGGAUAACGUAGCGAAAGUUACGCUAAUACCGCAUAUUCUGUGAGCAGGAAAGAGGGGGAUCGCAAGACCUCUUGCUUUAGGAGCGGCCGAUGUCGGAUUAGCUAGUUGGUGGGGUAAAGGCUCACCAAGGCGACGAUCCGUAGCGGGUCUGAGAGGAUGAUCCGCCACACUGGGACUGAGACACGGCCCAGACUCCUACGGGAGGCAGCAGUGGGGAAUUUUGGACAAUGGGCGCAAGCCUGAUCCAGCCAUGCCGCGUGAGUGAAGAAGGCCUUCGGGUUGUAAAGACUCUUCGUGGGAGAAGUUAGCACAGGAGUAAUACC